UACGAAGGGGGCUAGCGUUGCUCGGAAUCACUGGGCGUAAAGCGCACGUAGGCGGAUCUUUAAGUCAGGGGUGAAAUCCUGGAGCUCAACUCCAGAACUGCCUUUGAUACUGGGGAUCUCGAGUCCGGGAGAGGUGAGUGGAACUCCGAGUGUAGAGGUGAAAUUCGUAGAUAUUCGGAAGAACACCAGUGGCGAAGGCGGUUCUCUGGGCAUUACCUGACGCUGAGGAGCGAAAGUGUGGGGAGCGAACAGG
rnacentral:rRNA from 1 species